GGGGGUAUAGCUCAGUGACAGAGCACUUACUUCCUAUGUAUAAGGCCUGGGUUCAGUCCCCAGGACCUCAA
rnacentral:tRNA from 1 species